UAGGGAAUCUUCCGCAAUGGGCGAAAGCCUGACGGAGCAACGCCGCGUGAGUGAUGAAGGUCUUCGGAUCGUAAAACUCUGUUAUUAGGGAAGAACAAAUGUGUAAGUAACUAUGCACGUCUUGACGGUACCUAAUCAGAAAGCCACGGCUAACUACGUGCCAGCAGCCGCGGUAAUACGUAGGUGGCAAACGUUAUCCGGAAUUAUUGGGCGUAAAGCGCGCGUAGGCGGUUUUUUAAGUCUGAUGUGAAAGCCCACGGCUCAACCGUGGAGGGUCAUUGGAAACUGGAAAACUUGAGUGCAGAAGAGGAAAGUGGAAUUCCAUGUGUAGCGGUGAAAUGCGCAGAGAUAUGGAGGAACACCAGUGGCGAAGGCGACUUUCUGGUCUGUAACUGACGCUGAUGUGCGAAAGCGUGGGGAUCAAACAGG
rnacentral:rRNA from 1 species